rnacentral:rRNA from 1 species
AAACUUUCAACAACGGAUCUCUUGGUUCUGGCAUCGAUGAAGAACGCAGCGAAAUGCGAUACGUAAUGUGAAUUGCAGAAUUCAGUGAAUCAUCGAAUCUUUGAACGCACAUUGCGCCCCUUAGUAUUCUAGGGGGCAUGCCUGUUCGAGCGUCAUU